rnacentral:rRNA from 1 species
UAGUGAGUUUGAUCCUGGCUCAGGAUGAACGCUGGCGGUCUGCUUAACACAUGCAAGUCGAACGCAAGUAGAAAUACUUGAGUGGCGGACGGGUGAGUAACGCGUGAGAAGUCUGCCUUCUGGUCGGGGGACAACCACUGGAAACCGGUGGCUAAUACCGGAUAUGCCUAUGGGUUGAAAGAUUAAUUGCCAGAAGAAGAGCUCGCGUCUGAUUAGCUAGUUGGAGAGGUAAAGGCUCACCAAGGCAUCGAUCAGUAGCUGGUCUGAGAGGACGAUCAGCCAC